rnacentral:rRNA from 1 species
CAGUAGCCGCGGGAAUACGGAGGAUCCAAGCGUUAUCAGGAAUCAUUGGGUUUAAAGGGUCCGUAGGCGGUCUUGUAAGUCAGUGGUGAAAGCCCAUCGCUCAACGGUGGAACGGCCAUUGAUACUGCAGGACUUGAAUUAUUGGGAAGUAACUAGAAUAUGUAGUGUAGCGGUGAAAUGCUUAGAGAUUACAUGGAAUACCAAUUGCGAAGGCAGGUUACUACCAAUUGAUUGACGCUGAUGGACGAAAGCGUGGGUAGCGAACAGGAUUAGAUACCCGCGUAGUCCCUGUCUCUUAUAC